rnacentral:rRNA from 1 species
ACCUACGGGGGGCAGCAGUGAGGAAUAUUGGUCAAUGGGCGGGAGCCUGAACCAGCCAAGUCGCGUGAGGGAAGACGGUCCUAUGGAUUGUAAACCUCUUUAGGCGGGGAGCAAUGCCGGGCACGCGUGCCCGGAGGGAGAGUACCCGCAGAAUAAGCAUCGGCUAACUCCGUGCCAGCAGCCGCGGUAAUACGUAGGGGGCAAGCGUUAUCCGGAAUCACUGGGUGUAAAGGGAGCGUAGACGGCUGAGCAAGCCUGAAGUGAAAGGCGGGGGCCCAACCCCCGGACUGCUUUGGGAACUGUAC